GGCGAACGCUGGCGGCGUGCUUAACACAUGCAAGUCGAACGGUGAAGCGCUUUCCUUUUUGGUUGGUGUGGAUGAGUGGCGAACGGGUGAGUAACACGUGAGUAACCUGCCCCCUUCUUCUGGAUAACCGCAUGAAAGUGUGGCUAAUACGGGAUAUUCUGCGCCUGCUGCAUGGUGGGUGUGGGAAAGAUUGUGCCUUUGGGUGUUUUCGGUGGGGGAUGGGCUCGCGGCCUAUCAGCUUGUUGGUGGGGUGAUGGCCUACCAAGGCGGUGACGGGUAGCCGGCCUGAGAGGGUGGACGGUCACACUGGGACUGAGACACGGCCCAG
rnacentral:rRNA from 1 species